GAGUUUGAUCAUGGCUCAGGACGAACGCUGGCGGCGGGCUUAACACAUGCAAGUCGAACGAUCCCUUCGGGGAUAGUGGCGCACGGGUGCGUAACGCGUAGGCAAUCUGCCCUCAGGUGGGGAAUAACCAUCGGAAACGGUGGCUAAUACCGCAUAUGGUCUGGUGACCGCAUGGCCAUCAGAUGAAAGUCUUCGGACGCCUGAGGAUGAGCCUGCGUCGGAUUAGCUAGUUGGUGAGGUAACGGCUCACCAAGGCGACGAUCCGUAGCGGGUCUGAGAGGAUGAUCCGCCACACUGGCACUGAGACACGGGCCAGACUCCUACGGGAGGCAGCAGUGAGGAAUCUUGCGCAAUGGGCGAAAGCCUGACGCAGCCACGCCGCGUGGAGGAAGACACCCCUAUGGGGCGUAAACUCCUUUUAUAUGGGAAGAACGUCCUGCCCGGCAGGAUUUGACGGUACCAUAUGAAUAAGCACCGGCUAACUCCGUGCCAGCAGCCGCGGUA
rnacentral:rRNA from 1 species